UGACCCGUCUUGAAGCACGGACCAAGGAGUCUAACAUGUGUGCGAGUCAUUGAGAAUGUUAAACUCAAAGGCGUAAUGAAAGUGAAGAUCCAAUUUUAUGGAUUUGAGGAGAGAUCAUGGCCCUUGCAAUGCAUUCCGUAAGGUUUGUAGGGCAGGGUAUGCGCAUCUCCUGGACGUCCUAACCUUCGAAGGUGGGGCGUACCUAGAGCAUACACGUUGGGACCCGAAAGAUGGUGAACUAUGCCUGGUCAGAACGAAGUCAGGGGAAACCCUGAUGGAGGUUCGUAGCGAUUCUGACGUGCAAAUCGAUCGUCGGAACUGGGUAUAGGGGCGAAAGACUAAUCGAACCAUCUAGUAGCUGGUUCCCUCCGAAGUUUCCCUCAGGAUAGCUGGCGCUUGUACCAGUCUCAU
rnacentral:rRNA from 1 species